rnacentral:rRNA from 1 species
UGGAUCCAGACUUUGAUUAUGGCUCAGGAUGAACGCUGGCGGCAUGCCUAAGACAUGCAAGUCGAACGGAGCGGCCCAUUGAAAUGGAGUGCUUGCACAAAGUGGAUUUGGAUUCCCGCUUAGUGGCGAAAGGGUGAGUAACACGUGGGUUAUCUACCUCAGAGACUGGAAUAACAAUUGGAAACGAUUGCUAAUGCCGGAUGAUAUAUAAAACGAUACGUUGUUUUAUAUUAAAAGGAGCCUUUAAAGCUUCACUUUGAGAUGAGCCCGCGGCGUAUUAGCUAGUUGGUGAGGUAAUGGCCCACCAAGGCAACGAUGCGUAGCCGGCCUGAGAGGGUGAUCGGCCACAUUGGGACUGAGACACGGCCCAAACUCCUACGGGAGACAGCAGUUAGGAAUAUUCGUCAAUGGGGGAAACCCUGAACGAGCAAUGCCGCGUGAGUGAUGACGGUCCUUUGGAUUGUAAAACUCUGUUGUUAGGGAAGAACGACCUGUAUAGGAAAUGAUACAGGAGUGACGGUACCUUUCAAGAAAGCUCCGGCUAACUACGUGCCAGCAGCCGCGGUAAUACGUAGGGAGCGAGCGUUAUCCGGAUUUAUUGGGUGUAAAGCGUGUGUAGGCGGUUUAUUAAGUCUGAGGUUUAAUCCCGGAGCUUAACUCCGGUUCGCCUCAGAAACUGAUUUACUUGAGUAUGGUAGAGGCAAGUGGAAUUUCUAGUGUAGCGGUAAAAUGCGUAGAUAUUAGAAGGAACACCAGUGGCGAAGGCGACCUGCUGGGCCAUCACUGACGCUGAGACACGAAAGCGUGGGGAGCAAAUAGGAUUAGAUACCCUAGUAGUCCACGCCGUAAACGAUGGAUACUAAGUGUCGGGUAACCGGUGCUGAAGUUAACACAUUAAGUAUCCCACCUGAGUAGUACGGUCGCAAGGCUGCAACUCAAAUGAAUUGACGGA